UGCGCGAUUAGGUGCAUUUCAGGAACCAGUCUUGAUUCCUUGUGCCUGAAGGCUUUAGGAUCCCUACCCAAAAGAGAUCUAGCUUGGUGGGAAAAUCAGUGAGUUAGAAAUUAGAAAACUAGCCUAGUCCUGGCUUGGGUCCUCUGCCCACGGGAUGUUAACGCACUCUCACAACUUGUGAACAGCAAAUAAGAUAGUUAAUAUACCAAACAUAAAUCUCAAACCACUUCUAUAAAUGUCAGUCCUUAAUAAGUUUCUUCCUCUGCCUUGACCUCAGUUUCCUCAUCUAAAAUGUGACAGUUGGACUGGGAAGCAUCCCGGGAUCCUAUGAUUUAAAGCUGGAAGAGAGAAAGACUGAGAAACUGAUGGGACCUGUCCCUAGUUAUACAGCAAUGGGACCUGGUAGAGACUGAGGACUAGAAGUGGAGAAGUUUGCUUUCCUUCUUCUGCCCAACUGGGGGAAAGUAUGGUGCUUCAAGCAACUGGAUGAAAUAAAAUGAUGUGACACUACACCAGAAAUGGGUUGGGAUUGAUUGAAGAGAUUCUUUGUUACAUAAAAUAGCAAACCAGUUUGGAUUCUGGCAUUCAAGUAGCAGACUUACUUAGAGGAGAAGAUGAUCCAGCAAAAGCCCUGAAAGAAAUCAGCUUGGUGGGUAAGAAGAAUCCCUUUCCCUCUUUGCCUUAACCAGAGGAUGAUUUGUGAGAGAGUGUGUCCCAGACGUUUGAAGGAAUGGUUGUGCCCAAUGUCCUUAAUAAAUACUAAGAACGAAAUUUGACUUGCUAUUGAUAUCAAUUGAGAGACAUUGGGGAAGAGUAUACUGGGGGGCUCAUGAGCUAUGUAGUACUAAGGAAACCAUCUCUAACUCCAGGUUUACCCCUUAUAAGGAUGAUAUUAGAAAUUAAGUCUUGUAAUAUUAGUUUAGAGAUAAGAAGUAGAGAAGCUGGCCUGAGAAAGAAUUGGAGAUUGAAGCAGAUCUGAGACAGAGUGUCAGUUUCAAAUGUUGACAGUCUAAUGGUUUUUCUGUGUCAGUUAGGCUCUCUGGGAGUUAGCAGUUACUCUCUGGGAAGUAGUUGACAGUUACACUCUCUCAGAAUUCGGAGAACAGGUGACAUCUUUUCUCUCUCUUCUCACUGUCUGAGGGAAAAGGAAAGAAGGGAAAAACCAGAAGGAGCUAAGUGAUUUUCCUUUUCCAACUUGGGAAACACUAGUGACUGUCUAUUGCUGUUACAUAAAUUGUUUUUAUAUCUGAGAAAAACAAAGAAAGGCCUGGUCUUUGGUUUGGACUCUGAGUCUGUUAAGGCUCAGAGACCUAACUUGGUUCUUGCUGAGGCUCAGCCAACUAGCCUUUGUUAUUUUUAUAACUUGAAGACAAACUUAAGAAUUAUAUACUUUGUAUAAGGAUAAUAGUGUUUAGUUUAUUGUAAAAAUAGGGAAAAUUUGGGUUAGUCAAAUCAGAAAGGAUCAGUGUAGUCUGUGGAAACAGGAGAAGCAGUUCUUUGCGGAACCAGGGAGUUUUAUUUGGAUGGAGUUAGAAUCCCUUAGAGUUAGAAAUCCUUUUUUUAUCCUUAUAUUCUUUUUUUUUUUAACUCAACAUGAAAAUUAUUUAAUUAUAAUACUGCCAGUUUACUUUCUUUUUUUUCACUUUAAAUUAUAUUUUAUUUGAUCAUUUCCAAGCAUUAUUCAUUAAGACAUAGAUCAUUUUCUUUUCCUCCCCCCACCCCCCAUAGCCGACGUGUAAAUCCACUGGGCAUUACAUGUUUUCUUGAUUUGAACCCAUUGCUAUGUUGAUAAUAUUUGCAUUAGAGUGUUCAUUUAGAGUCUCUCCUCUGUCAUAUCCUUAUAUUCUUAAUAAAAAGUUUAUUUUUCUAUAAGAGUCUCCUUAGCAUUCUUGCACCUGCCCCUGAAGAGAAGUUCACUUAAGAGCAUCACUUCACUGAUA